rnacentral:rRNA from 1 species
AUUGAACGCUGGCGGCAUGCCUUACACAUGCAAGUCGAACGGUAACGGGCCUUCGGGUGCCGACGAGUGGCGCACGGGUGAGUAAUACAUCGGAACGUGCCCGAUCGUGGGGGAUAACGAGGCGAAAGCUUUGCUAAUACCGCAUACGAUCUACGGAUGAGAGCAGGGGACCGCAAGGCCUUGCGCGGACUGAGCGGCCGAUGGCAGAUUAGGUAGUUGGUGGGAUAAAAGCUUACCAAGCCGACGAUCUGUAGCUGGUCUGAGAGGAUGAUCAGCCACACUGGGACUGAGACACGGCCCAGACUCCUACGGGAGGCAGCAGUGGGGAAUUUUGGACAAUGGGCGCAAGCCUGAUCCAGCCAUGCCGCGUGCAGGAUGAAGGCCUUCGGGUUGUAAACUGCUUUUGUACGGAACGAAAAGCCUUCUUUUAAUACAGGAGGGUCAUGACGGUACCGUAAGAAUAAGCACCGGCUAACUACGUG